AGCCUAUCUCAGUUCGGAUUGGAGGCUGAAACCCGCCUCCAUGAAGUUGGAUUCGCUAGUAAUCGCGCAUCAGCCAUGGCGCGGUGAAUACGUUCCCGGGCCUUGUACACACCGCCCGUCAAGCCAUGGGAGCUGGGGGUGCCUGAAGUUCGUGACCGCAAGGAUCGACCUAGGGCAAAACCGGUGACUGGGGCUAAGUCGUAACAAGGUAGC
rnacentral:rRNA from 1 species